rnacentral:sRNA from 1 species
UGGAGCCUGCCGUCCGUCGGGUAGAAGGGGAUCACAACGAUGCGGGUCAC